rnacentral:rRNA from 1 species
UAUGUGAUCGUCUCUCGCAUAUCAAUAAGCGGAGGAAAAGAAACUAACAAGGAUUCCCCUAGUAACGGCGAGUGAAGCGGGAAGAGCUCAAAUUUGAAAUCUUAAAGGGUUUCCCUUUACGAAUUGUAGUUUAAAGAAGUGUUUUCUGUUGAGGUUUUGGUAAAAGUUCUUUGGAAUAGGACAUCAUAGAGGGUGAGAAUCCCGUAUUUGACCUUUACUUUCAACUUUGUGAUACACCUUCAAAGAGUCGGAUUGUUUGGGAAUGCAGUCCAAAAUGGGUGGUAAAUUUCAUCUAAAGCUAAAUAUUGGCGAGAGACCGAUAGCGAACAAGUACCGUGAGGGAAAGAUGACAAGAACUUUGAAAAGAGAGUUAAACAGUACGUGAAAUUGUCAAAAGGGAAGCGUUUGACACCAGUGUUGUUUUUCUGAAAAUCAAUUAAAGAACUGUUUAUGCUAAGUUGUUUAGACUUUAUCAGCUAUCUGCUUAGUUUUGAGCUUUUCUUUAAUGCACUUUUCAGUUAACAAGUCAACAUCAAUUUCUAUUGCUGUAAAAAAGCUUGAGGAAGGUGGCUUGAGAUUCGUCUUAAGUGUUUAUAGCCUCUUGCCUAUGCAGUCGGAGAGAUUGAGGUCUGCAGCGUAGAUCCUUCGGGGCUAAAUGCAUUUGUGCUAAGUUAUAGCAUUUUAUAGACAACUUGUUGACUAUGAUUUGUCUUGUAGCUUACUCGCUUAUGUUAUUUUACCUACGCUUAGGAUGUUGACGAGACUGUCGAUCUCAUCUAUACAUGACUCUGCGCAUAUCAAUAAGCGGAGGAAAAGCUGUUACCUACGCUUAGGAUGUUGAUAUGCAUGACUGAUAU